rnacentral:rRNA from 1 species
UGCCAGACUCCUACGGGAGGCAGCAGUGGGGGAUAUUGCACAAUGGGGGGAACCCUGAUGCAGCGACGCCGCGUGGGUGAAGGAGUGCUUCGGCAUGUAAAGCCCUAUCGGCAGGGAAGAAGCCAGACGGUACCUGACUAAGAAGCCCCGGCUAACUACGUGCCAGCAGCCGCGGGAAUACGUAGGGGGCAAGCGUUAUCCGGAUUUACUGGGUGUAAAGGGAGCGUAGACGGCUGUGCAAGCCAGAUGUGAAAGCCCGGGGCUCAACCCCGGGACUGCAUUUGGAACUGCGUGGCUUGAGUGUCGGAGAGGCAGGCGGAAUUCCUAGUGUAGCGGUGAAAUGCGUAGAUAUUAGGAGGAACACCAGUGGCGAAGGCGGCCUGCUGGGCUUUUACUGACGCUGAGGCUCGAAAGUGUGGGGAGCAAACAGGAUUAGAUACCCGAGUA